rnacentral:rRNA from 1 species
UUUUUUUGGAGGGCAAGUCUGGUGCCAGCAGCCGCGGUAAUUCCAGCUCCAAUAGCGUAUAUUAAAGUUGUUGCAGUUAAAAAGCUCGUAGUUGAAUUUCGGGAUCAAUACGUCGGUCGUGCCACGGUAUGUACUGGCGUCAUUGAUUUCUCCCUUCUGACGAACCAUGAUGUCAUUAAGUUGGUGUCAUGGGGGGUCAGGACUGUUACCUUGAAAAAAUUAGAGUGUUUAAAGCAGGCUCACGCUUGAAUACAUUAGCAUGGAAUAAUGAAAUAGGACGUUUGAACCUAUUUUGUUGGUUUCUAGGAUCAACGUAAUGAUUAAUAGGGAUAGUUGGGGGCAUUAGUAUUCAAUUGUCAGAGGUGAAAUUCUUGGAUUUAUUGAAGACUAACUACUGCGAAAGCAUUUGCCAAGGAUGUUUUCAUUAAUCAAGAACGAAAGUUAGGGGAUCGAAGACGAUCAGAUACCGUCGUAGUCUUAACCAUAAACUAUGCCGACUAGGGAUCGGAUGAUGUUAAUUUUUUAAUGACUCAUUCGGCGCCCUUACGGGGAAACAAAAA